AGCAGCCGCGGUAAUUCCAGCUCCAAUAGCGUAUAUUAAAGUUGUUGCAGUUAAAAAGCUCGUAGUUGAAUUUCGGGAUCAAUACGUCGGUCGUGCUUCGGUACGUACUGGUGUCAUUGAUUUCUCCCUUCUGACGAACCAUGAUGUCAUUAACUUGGUGUCAUGGGAAAUCAGGACUGUUACUUUGAAAAAUUAGAGUGUUUAAAGCAGGCUCACGCUUGAAUACAUUAGCAUGGAAUAAUGAAAUAGGACGUCCGAUCCUAUUUUGUUGGUUUCUAGGAUCAACGUAAUGAUUAAUAGGGAUAGUUGGGGGCAUUAGUAUUCAAUUGUCAGAGGUGAAAUUCUUGGAUUUAUUGAAGACUAACUACUGCGAAAGCAUUUGCCAAGGAUGUUUUCAUUAAUCAAGAACGAAAGUUAGGGGAUCGAAGACGAUCAGAUACCGUCGUAGUCUUAACCAUAAACUAUGCCGACUAGGGAUCGGAUGAUGUUAAUUAUUUAAUGACUCAUCC
rnacentral:misc_RNA from 1 species